rnacentral:rRNA from 1 species
AUUGAACGCUGGCGGAAUGCUUUACACAUGCAAGUCGAACGGUAGAGGGGGCAACCCCUUGAGAGUGGCGAACGGGUGAGUAAUAUAUCGGAACGUGCCCAGUCGUGGGGAUAACGUAGCGAAAGUUACGCUAAUACCGCAUACGAUCUAAGGAUGAAAGCGGGGGAUCGCAAGACCUCGCGCGAUUGGAGCGGCCGAUAUCAGAUUAGGUAGUUGGUGAGGUAAAGGCUCACCAAGCCAACGAUCUGUAGCUGGUCUGAGAGGACGACCAGCCACACUGGAACUGAGACACGGUCCAGACUCCUACGGGAGGCAGCAGUGGGAAUUUUGGACAAUGGACGCAAGUCUGAUCCAGCCAUUCCGCGUGCAGGAUGAAGGCCUCGGGUUGUAAACUGCUUUUUCGUACGGAACGAAAAGGUUUGUCUUAAUACGAUGAGCUCAUGACGGUA